AGAAACCGUUAAAGUUAAAACCCGCCCAAUACCCACAAACCGUUGACCCAAAAAGAAGACCCAUAAACCUUAACCAGUCAGAUUAGAGAGAGCUCAGAGCUAUAUCCAUGGCGACACAGAGCUCGAAUUCUAGCGAACGGCAUGCCCUACCGGAUACGACUCACAAACACUUCUUCGUUAAGAGGGAGUUUCUGUGGGGUGCUGUUGCUGGAGCAUUUGGGGAAGGAAUGAAGCAUCCGGUCGACACCGUAAAAACACGCAUUCAGAGCCAGGCUAUUCUCUCUGCAAGUCAGAAACCGAAGAGCAUAAUGCAUAUGGUACGAGCAGUCUGGGCAGCCGAUGGAUUGAGAGUGCUAGUGCAGUCUCUGAGUACAUGGUUACUCCGAACCUAGGGACGUUGGGCACAUUUCAUUGCUGGAGCUGUUGGUAAGUUGUUCUGCAGCUCUCAAACUUGAAUCUGAUUCAUGCUGAUUCCAUUUGAGUUUCUUGCAAUGCAAUUGCUGUUAAUAUGCUGAAUUAAAUGUUAACAGUAUUCAUCAAUUGUCUUCAGAACUUCAGAUUAUGUGUAACAUUAUGACAUUUGUGUUAUUAACCGAGGAAUUUGAUUUAGCUUGUUGCAAAGAUGCUCUUCAGUUUUGUGGAGUGUUGAUUUUUUAAGCGACUGGAAUCUGAUUCAAAGGUUUAUGAGUGCCAUUUGGAUUUAUGAUCUGCUAAAUAGUUCUUGAUCAUUCAUUUUGCUUAAGUUGGCCAAAUAGUCUUAUAUGCUUGACCUUUUUAUCCUGAAUUUACAAAAUCUUUCGACUUGACCAUGCGCUGUUGUGUUCUCAUACAUAGAAUUUUGUCCAGUGAACUUGGUAUCUGAGUGCUCUUUUCUUAUCUGGACGUGAAUAUUUGUGCUGGUGCUUUAUACUCAAUGACGUCCACUUGGCUUUCAGCAGCUAAUGGUUGUUGCCUGCUUACCGCCAUCCACGCAUGCACCCGAAGCACAACACAGAUAAGCCACACGUCAGGGAUGUGCCUUUUGCCCAAUUGUGGAUUUAUUUUUUUCUUUCAUUUGGCAGAUACUGGUCUAUACUUGCCCGGGAUGUGCCUUUUGCUGGUCUAAUGAUAGGUUGGGCGGAGAUUGCUUGUAUGUCUCACCCUUAACUUUUGGCUGUAGCUUCUUAAUAUUGGGAAAAUGGAGUCGCAAGUUGCAACUCCUAAUAACAAAAUUUGUUCAAGUUAUGUUUUACGAAGGUUUGAAAGAUUUGACAGAGUUUGGGAAGCAGAAAUACAUACGGGAUCCAAAUUUCCAUAUUAAUGGUUCGGUCCAGGGGCUGGUGCAUUAGUGUAUAUCUUACCACUCCCUUGGAUGUGAUCAAAACAAGACUGCAAGUACAAGGAUCAACCUUGAGGUACAAAGGCUGGUUGGAUGCAAUUCGCAGCGUAUGGAGGGCCGAAGGUGCACAAGGGAUGUUCAGAGGCCGCAUCCCCAGGGUUACAUGGUAUAUUCCAGCUUCAGCACUUACGUUUAUGGCUGUAGAAUUUCUCAGAGAACAUUUCAACGAGAACACCCCAGAAGUUGCUAGCAUGUCAGUGGAGAAAAGGGAUCACCUUUACAAGGGGCCGCUAGAGAAGUAGAAAUAUAUGCACAGAUUCUUUUGCCCAUCAUGUAGUUCUGACGAGACUUUCGUCGUGUUUUC